AGAGUUUGAUCCUGGCUCAGAUUGAACGCUGGCGGCAGGCCUAACACAUGCAAGUCGAGCGGUAGCACAGAGAGCUUGCUCUCGGGUGACGAGCGGCGGACGGGUGAGUAAUGUCUGGGAAACUGCCUGAUGGAGGGGGAUAACUACUGGAAACGGUAGCUAAUACCGCAUAACGUCGCAAGACCAAAGUGGGGGACCUUCGGGCCUCAUGCCAUCAGAUGUGCCCAGAUGGGAUUAGCUAGUAGGUGGGGUAACGGCUCACCUAGGCGACGAUCCCUAGCUGGUCUGAGAGGAUGACCAGCCACACUGGAACUGAGACACGGUCCAGACUCCUACGGGAGGCAGCAGUGGGGAAUAUUGCACAAUGGGCGCAAGCCUGAUGCAGCCAUGCCGCGUGUGUGAAGAAGGCCUUCGGGUUGUAAAGCACUUUCAGCGGGGAGGAAGGCGAUAAGGUUAAUAACCUUGUCGAUUGACGUUACCCGCAGAAGAAGCACCGGCUAACUCCGUGCCAGCAGCCGCGGUAAUACGGAGGGUGCAAGCGUUAAUCGGAAUUACUGGGCGUAAAGCGCACGCAGGCGGUCUGUCAAGUCGGAUGUGAAAUCCCCGGGCUCAACCUGGGAACUGCAUUCGAAACUGGCAGGCUAGAGUCUUGUAGAGGGGGGUAGAAUUCCAGGUGUAGCGGUGAAAUGCGUAGAGAUCUGGAGGAAUACCGGUGGCGAAGCGGCCCCCUGGACAAAGACUGACGCUCAGUGCGAAAGCGUGGGGAGCAAACAGGAUUAGAUACCCUGGUAGUCCACGCCGUAAACGAUGUCGAUUUGGAGGUUGUGCCCUUGAGGCGUGCUUCCGGGCUAACGCGUUAAAUCGACCGCCUGGGGAGUACGGCCGCAAGGUUAAAACUCAAAUGAAUUGACGGGGGCCCGCACAAGCGGUGGAGCAUGUGGUUUAAUUCGAUGCAACGCGAAGAACCUUACCUGGUCUUGACAUCCACAGAACUUUCCAGAGAUGGAUUGGUGCCUUCGGGAACUGUGAGACAGGUGCUGCAUGGCUGUCGUCAGCUCGUGUUGUGAAAUGUUGGGUUAAGUCCCGCAACGAGCGCAACCCUUAUCCUUUGUUGCCAGCGGUUCGGCCGGGAACUCAAAGGAGACUGCCAGUGAUAAACUGGAGGAAGGUGGGGAUGACGUCAAGUCAUCAUGGCCCUUACGACCAGGGCUACACACGUGCUACAAUGGCAUAUACAAAGAGAAGCGACCUCGCGAGAGCAAGCGGACCUCAUAAAGUAUGUCGUAGUCCGGAUUGGAGUCUGCAACUCGACUCCAUGAAGUCGGAAUCGCUAGUAAUCGUAGAUCAGAAUGCUACGGUGAAUACGUUCCCGGGCCUUGCACACACCGCCCGUC
rnacentral:rRNA from 1 species